AGAACCCCGGCGAGGGGAGUGAAAAAGAACCUGAAACCGUGUACGUACAAGCAGUGGGAGCACGCUUAGGCGUGUGACUGCGUACCUUUUGUAUAAUGGGUCAGCGACUUAUAUUCUGUAGCAAGGUUAACCGAAUAGGGGAGCCGAAGGGAAACCGAGUCUUAACUGGGCGUUAAGUUGCAGGGUAUAGACCCGAAACCCGGUGAUCUAGCCAUGGGCAGGUUGAAGGUUGGGUAACACUAACUGGAGGACCGAACCGACUAAUGUUGAAAAAUUAGCGGAUGACUUGUGGCUGGGGGUGAAAGGCCAAUCAAACCGGGAGAUAGCUGGUUCUCCCCGAAAGCUAUUUAGGUAGCGCCUCGUGAAUUCAUCUCCGGGGGUAGAGCACUGUUUCGGCAAGGGGGUCAUCCCGACUUACCAACCCGAUGCAAACUGCGAAUACCGGAGAAUGUUAUCACGGGAGACACACGGCGGGUGCUAACGUCCGUCGUGAAGAGGGAAACAACCCAGACCGCCAGCUAAGGUCCCAAAGUCAUGGUUAAGUGGGAAACGAUGUGGGAAGGCCCAGACAGCCAGGAUGUUGGCUUAGAAGCAGCCAUCAUUUAAAGAAAGCGUAAUAGCUCACUGGUCGAGUCGGCCUGCGCGGAAGAUGUAACGGGGCUAAACCAUGCAC
rnacentral:rRNA from 1 species